rnacentral:rRNA from 1 species
CGCAGCCGCGGUAAUUCCAGCUCCAAUAGCGUAUAUUAAAGUUGUUGCAGUUAAAAAGCUCGUAGUUGAAUUUCGGGGUCAGUAGAUUGGUCGUGCCACUGGUAUGUACUGGUCUUACUGGCUCCUCCUUCCUGAUGAACCGUAAUGCCAUUAAUUUGGUGUUGCGGGGAAACUGGACUGUUACUUUGAAAAAAUUAGAGUGUUUAAAGCAGGCUAACGCUUGAAUACAUUAGCAUGGAAUAAUGAAAUAGGACGUUCGAUCUUAUUUUGUUGGUUUCUAGGAUUGACGUAAUGAUUAAUAGGGAUAGUUGGGGGCAUUAGUAUUCAAUUGUCAGAGGUGAAAUUCUUGGAUUUAUUGAAGACUAACUACUGCGAAAGCAUUUGCCAAGGAUGUUUUCAUUAAUCAAGAACGAAAGUUAGGGGGUCGAAGACGAUCAGAUACCGUCGUAGUCUUAACCAUAAACUAUGCCGACUAGGGAUCGGAUGAUGUUAUUUUUAAUGUACUCAUUCGGCGCCUUAC